GAUUCAUACGUUCAGGUUGUGUCCGCGCGCCGUUUAACCUGACUAGUACGGAAAAGUGGCAGUAGAAAACGCGCGUUAAUUGUUUAUAGAUAUUAAAUAACAUUUUAAGAACUUAGUGAAAAUUAAAAAAAAAAAUUUGAAAAUAAAAAUCAGUUAGUGUGUCCUCUUCAUAUUAAAUAAAUGUUCUGUGUUAAGUGUUUCUUGUCCUUUAAUUCGAGUGGUGCGCUUUUGUCACAAUUUGAAAGACGCAUACGCGCGUCGCACUUGAUAAUAUUACCGAAAACAGUCAUUUAAGAAACGAUAAUUGAAAAAAAAACAACAAUAACAUUCAAUCAGCUCUAAUGAUACUCGGCGAGACGUGAACGACAAUAAGAAAUCAACCAAAACAUCACAAAAAGCACAAAACAGCUUCAACUGCCUGCAGCGGCAGCGUGGCAAAUAAAAACCACCAACAGUGACGAUUUGCAAAAACAAAGCAAAGUGCGAAAAAAAAGACUUCAACAUAAAUUUUGCGAAAAACAAAAAACGCGAACGUGUGAAAUAAACAACUUUAAGCAUAAAUAAAUGUUGAAACUAGAAAAACAUAGUAAAACAAAGUAGUAAGCGGACGCGCUAGCGUUGAGUGGGCAAAAACGCCUGGAAGUAUGCAAAACAAAUAAGUGUUAGCGCAACAAAUUCUAUGCAAGUGUGCGUCUGAAGUGCAAAGUAGGAAGUAAAUUGCAUAUAACGUGUAUGCUUACAGUUUUAUAUAUGUAUGUGCGUGAGUGUGCGCACGUGUAUGUAUGUAUGCUGGUGUGACGCUGCACUUGCACUUGGCGAUAAGUGAAUGUAAGUGCGCGCAUACUUAAGUGCUAAAGUGUGUUCUAGCGCGCAGCAAAACUUGCUCAGCAUAUGUACGCGUAUGUGCGUGUGAGAGAGUAACUAAUACGCCGGCAGCAUACGCGCAAGCAGAGCGCUGUUAAUGUUAAUGUGUUGCAACUAUCUCCGUACAACUUGAGUGAAAGUGGAACGAAAUUAAAACGGAAUAUUUUCAACGAGGUGAUUCGACUUUCAAAAGCAAAAAGAGAAACAAAAAAAAUAAAUAAAUAAACAAAUAAAAAAACCUCAAAAGUAAAAGAAAAAUCAAAAAAUAAAAAACUAUCAGCAAAUUUCCUGCAAACAGCUCACACACCCCGCUCUAUAACACCAACAGCGCGCGUUUUGUAUAUUUGCGUGCGCGUGGCAGCCAGCAUAGCAACACUACACCACCACCACCAACUACAUACAGAACUUAUUUUGGUUUUUAUGGCAGAAGUUUGGAUUGCUGCAGUUAAUGUGCAACAGCACAGCCAGCAGUACUAAAGAGCGCUACAACAACAAUAACAAUAGCAACAACUACUACAACAACAACGGUAACGGCAACGGCUAUGAAAAAGACUAAGCAAACGAACAAUAAAAGCGCCGAGUUGCCAAAGAAAUAAAGGAAGUAUGUAUAACAACAACAACCACAAGCAAACGUAACGAAAUCGAAAGAAACAACAACAACAAGGAAAAAAAACAAAAACUGCCAUACAAAAGAGUAUAAUACUGUAUAAGUAGCAAUAGUAAAUGCAAAUAAAGCGACCAUAAGCGCUUGCAACAACAGCAACAAACAUACACAAAGUACUAAAAUCGUACAACAACAGCAAACCAAGCAGUAAAGUUGCUCAACAAAAUAUCAACAACAACAGCAACAAAACGCAAAGUAGUAAAAUCGUGCAACAACAUAUUAACAACAACAACAAAGUCUGCGAAUGCGUGCAACAAAAUCGAAAGAGCUUACGCUUGGACACCUGCAACUCGCUGGAUUCAGGCGCCGCAUGCAGCACCAACCGCCACAGCUACAAAGCUAAACAAAUAAAGAAAGCGGAGAUAAAAAAGUUUAACAAAAAUCCGCAGCAACUGCAUAGCGCAGCAGCGAAGUGGCAUUAGUAUUCCACAUAUACUCAUACACACUCAUACAUGCGCACCCAUACAUAUGCGUGCAAUUACAGUUAGCAUAAAACGCGCAACUUUUUUCACUUUCGCGCGCCUCUUCGCCAAUCUGUCUAACGCUCAUUGCAUUGCUCUCACUCGCUGGCCAUAAACGCAACGUCUCACUAGCACCAACCAACACCAGCGCCAUCGCCACCAUCAUGGGUCAGUUUAAAUGUUGCUGCGUAGGCACUUUGUGGAGUAAUGUUUUUCUACUACUCAUCACAAUCGGCUACCGGAGCGGAAGCGGCAGUGGUACGCUCGUGUUUGCACAAGGCCAUAAUCAACCAGAUGAGCCGGAGCCGGAGUUCUUGGCGCAAUUGACCAACUUUUCAGUGCCGCAAGGGCGCGAUGUCUCAUUCACGUGCGUGGUCAACAACUUGGGCCAGUAUCGGGUUGCAUGGAUUAAAUCCGACUCGAAAGCAAUACUCGGCAUUCACACCCAUAUGGUGUCACUUAAUCCCAGAUUAUCAGUGACACACAAUGGGCACAACACCUGGAAACUUCACAUAUCCCACGUGCAGCUCAACGAUUCAGGCAGCUACAUGUGCCAGGUGAACACAGAUCCCAUGAAGAGUCUGUCUGGCUAUUUGGAUGUUGUAGUGCCGCCGGAUAUUCUAAAUCAUCCGGAACAAAAUCUCGAAGAGGGUAUCUGCAAUGAAGGUGGCACAAUUGUGCUCAUCUGUAGUGCUACAGGCGUCCCUGAACCGACUGUGCAAUGGCGACGUGAGGGCGCUAAGGAUAUAGUUCUACGAACAGAGACAAGAGAGAAACAAGUGGUCAAAACGGUGGAGGGUGAGCGGCUCGUGCUGACGAAUGUGCAUCGCACCGAUAUGGGCGGUUAUUUGUGUAUUGCCUCGAAUGGUGUACCGCCGUCCGUGAGUAAGCGCUUCGACGUGCAUAUCAAUUUUCCACCGUCAAUUAAGGCUGUCAAUCAGCUGUUGGGCGCCCCCGUUGAACGUGAAGUCACACUUGAAUGCAUUGUAGAAGUGUAUCCGAAACCGCUCAAUGGCUGGUAUCGCAACGAAGGUAACUUAAAACUGCAUAGUAGCAACAAGUAUAACAUAUCGGAGGCCAUGAUUAACUUGUACACGUGGCAUCUCAACCUGACAAUACGUCAUCUGACAAAGGCUGACUUUGGCGCCUACACUUGUUCCAGCGUCAAUGCGUUGGGCAAAAGCGAAGCGCGGAUACGGCUGCAAGAACUACGUUUACCGCCCAAGCCGACAACAACGCCAACACCUUACGUUUACACCACGCCGAAGCCGCGCCGCAAACCGCCAACGAACCAUCAGAACAAAGGACUCAACGAAGUGGUGCGCGCCAAGGAGACCCAUCACGUCACAAAUCAAAUGCAGGAGAAUGACAUCUACGCCGGUCUGAGUGGCACUGGCGGUGCCUUCUUUGGCAGCGCCAACACGCUCAGCAGCAACGGAGCGCUGGGCGAUGCUGCAGGCGUUGCCCUAGGUAACGGUAAUGCGAAUAGCAACAGCAACAACAACAACAAUGGUAAUGGCAACGGCAACAUCUUCAGCUUGAAUAGUGGCCUGACAAACGGAGCGGAAGUACACACACAACUACCGACACGUAAUGCUGGUGUCUACGAGAAAACGCAAAAAUCGUCGACCGGCGUCGUGCCCUCACCGCGCUCUCCGUGGGUCUUCGCAAAUGCUGCAGCACCACAAAUGCAUUUUAACGCACAGCGACUACUGCACGCGGCAAAUACGAUUACACUCCUCUACGGCGCAUUAUCCUUGUUCAAAUUCAUAUCGAAUGAGUUGUCCGUCGCCACGCUCACAGCCACGACACUAUGGCGAGCGAAUAUCUGAAGCGAAGCAAUGCGACAGCGGCAACAAGCAAGCGACGAUGAUAAGAGCGUAACAAUAACAACAACGAAACGGCGGCGACAACAACAACACAUGCUCAAAGUGUGUGGUAUUCGGUUGUUGCUCGUGGCAAGUUGGAGUUGGGAAUUCAUCGUCGCGAGUGCUACUUCGUACCGAAAGUGCGGUAUGCGGCAUAUCUAAUACAAACAAAUGUAUAUAAAUAUACAUACAUACAUUCAGAUGUAUAUUAGUGAAAUGUAUGUGAACUGACUUGAAAAAACAACAACAAAAACAAUAUCACGGAAUUACAAAAAUAACAAGAAUUAUACGUAUUAGCAGUUAAGAGCAAACAUAUACACACACACAUACACAUAUGUAAGUAUAAUACGAAAUAAGCAUAAGUUAAUAUUUAAUGUUAAGAUUUAAGUUGAAAUCACAUACAUAUAGAGAUACAUACAAACACUCACAUAAGUAACGCAAUAUCAUCAAAUGCAUAUGUGUGUUAUAAUCAUUAUAUUAAAUAAAGUCUUCCGAUACAUAUGUACAUACACAUACACAAACAUUUACAUAGCACUUAAGUAAGUACAGUAUUUAAGCAGCAAGAAAAUUAAACAUAGUACAUACCUACAUAAGCAUAUAUAUGUAUAGUGGUAAGCAAAUAUACACACAUACCACAAGCUAUAAACUAUUUCCAUUCAUAUUCUAAAACAAACACAACAAAAACAAAAACAUAUAACAGUGCAAACGCUUAUUUUCAGUGGCAGUUUUUGAAAUUAUUUUUUCAGCCUUAAUCUGCACUCGCAAAACAUUUUAUUUUGGCUUAAAUCUCCGGCUGCAAUUUUCAGUUGUCUCCCUUAAUAGUUAUUUAUUUUAUUACAAUUUCUUUUUAACCCGUUUGUAAUCGCUUUAGCUGCUUGUGGUAUUUAUUUGAAUAUAAUUCGUUUCAAAUUUAUUGAAGCUUUUUAUAUAACAGAUAAUAAAUAUAAUAUAAAGAGAUGAAAAAAACAAACAAAAAAAUAAAGAGAUAAAUAAAUAAAAUUAACGGUACUUAAAAACCCUCGUUAUAAGCAAGCAAUGCCAACAGCUUUUAUACUGUAGGUAUAUUUAUAAAUAUUUGAGCAAAUUUUUUCCAAAAAAAUACGA